GCCAUGCCGCGUGCAGGAAGACAGCCCUCUGGGUCGUAAACUGCUUUUAUUCGGGAAUAAACCUACUUACGUGUAAGUAGCUGAAUGUACCGAAGGAAUAAGGAUCGGCUAACUCCGUGCCAGCAGCCGCGGUAAUACGGAGGAUCCAAGCGUUAUCCGGAUUUAUUGGGUUUAAAGGGUGCGUAGGCGGCUUAUUAAGUCAGGGGUGAAAGACGGUGGCUCAACCAUCGCAGUGCCCUUGAUACUGAUGAGCUUGAAUGAACUAGAGGUAGGCGGAAUGUGACAAGUAGCGGUGAAAUGCAUAGAUAUGUCACAGAACACCGAUUGCGAAGGCAGCUUACUAUGGUUUUAUUGACGCUGAGGCACGAAAGCGUGGGGAUCAAACAGGAUUAGAUACCCUGGUAGUCCACGCCCUAAACGAUGAAUACUCGCUGUUAGCGAUAUACAGUUAGCGGCUAAGCGAAAGCGUUAAGUAUUCCACCUGGGGAGUACGCCCGCAAGGGUGAAACUCAAG
rnacentral:rRNA from 1 species